rnacentral:rRNA from 1 species
AUUGAACGCUGGCGGCAUGCCUUACACAUGCAAGUCGAACGGUAACGGGCCUUCGGGUGCCGACGAGUGGCGAACGGGUGAGUAAUGUAUCGGAACGUACCUUUCAGUGGGGGAUAACGUAGCGAAAGUUACGCUAAUACCGCAUAUUCUGUGAGCAGGAAAGCAGGGGAUCGCAAGACCUUGCGCUGAUUGAGCGGCCGAUAUCAGAUUAGCUAGUUGGUGAGGUAAAGGCUCACAAAGGCGACGAUCUGUAGCGGGUCUGAGAGGAUGAUCCGCCACACUGGAACUGAGACACGGUCCAGACUCCGACGGGAGGCAGCAGUGGGGAAUUUUGGACAAUGGGGGCAACCCUGAUCCAGCCAUGCCGCGUGAGUGAAGAAGGCCUUCGGGUUGUGAACCUCUUUCAGGAGGGACGAAGCCACUCGGGUUAAUAGCCUAGAGGGUGACGGUACCUCCAGAAGAAGCCCCGGCUAACUACGUGCCAGCCGCCGCUGUAAAAC